GUGAGGAAUAUUGGUCAAUGGGCGGGAGCCUGAACCAGCCAAGUCGCGUGAAGGAAGAAGGAUCUAUGGUUCGUAAACUUCUUUUGCAGGGGAAUAAAGUGCAGGACGUGUCCUGUUUUGUAUGUACCCUGAGAAUAAGGAUCGGCUAACUCCGUGCCAGCAGCCGCGGUAAUACGGAGGAUCCGAGCGUUAUCCGGAUUUAUUGGGUUUAAAGGGUGCGUAGGUGGUUUGAUAAGUCAGCGGUGAAAGUUUGCAGCUUAACUGUAAAAAUGCCGUUGAAACUGUCGGACUUGAGUGUAAAUGAGGUAGGCGGAAUGCGUGGUGUAGCGGUGAAAUGCAUAGAUAGCACGCAGAACUCCGAUUGCGAAUGCAGCUUACUAAGCUACAACUGACACUGAAGCACGAAAGCGUGGGGAUCAAACAGGAUUAGAUACCCUGGUAGUCC
rnacentral:rRNA from 1 species